rnacentral:rRNA from 1 species
AUUGAACGCCGGCGGCAGGCUUAACACAUGCAAGUCGAGCGGAGAGAGGUAGCUUGCUACUGAUCUUAGCGGCGGACGGGUGAGUAAUGCUUAGGAAUCUGCCUAUUAGUGGGGGACAACAUUUCGAAAGGAAUGCUAAUACCGCAUACGUCCUACGGGAGAAAGCAGGGGAUCUUCGGACAUUGCGCUAAUAGAUGAGCCUAAGUCGGAUUAGCUAGUUGGUGGGGUAAAGGCCUACCAAGGCGACGAUCUGUAGCGGGUCUGAGAGGAUGAUCCGCCACACUGGGACUGAGACACGGCCCAGACUCCUACGGGAGGCAGCAGUGGGGAAUAUUGGACAAUGGGCGGAAGCCUGAUCCAGCCAUGCCGCGUGUGUGAAGAAGGCCUUAUGGUUGUAAAGCACUUUAAGCGAGGAGGAGGCUACUUUAGUUAAUACCUAGAGAUAGUGGACGUUACUCGCAGAAUAAGCACCGGCUAACUCUGUGCCAGCCGCCGCGGUAAAAC